UACGGGGGGGGCAAGCGUUGUUCGGAAUUACUGGGCGUAAAGAGUGCGUAGGCGGUUUUCUAAGUUUGGUGUGAAAUCUCCCGGCUUAACUGGGAGGGUGCGCCGAAGACUGGAAGGCUUGAGUAUGGGAGAGGUAAGCGGAAUUCCUGGUGUAGCGGUGAAAUGCGUAGAUAUCAGGAGGAACACCUGCGGUGUAGACGGCUUACUGGACCAUCACUGACGCUGAGGCACGAAAGCGUGGGUAGCAAACAGG
rnacentral:rRNA from 1 species